rnacentral:rRNA from 1 species
UCGAACCCGGAGAUAGCUGGUUCUCCUCGAAAUAGCUUUAGGGCUAGCCUCAUACAAGUCUGCCGGAGGUAGAGCACUGAAUUUCCGCGGGGGCGUCAAAGCCUACCAAAGAAUAUCAAACUCCGAAUGCCGGACAGAUGGUGUAUGGGAGUCAGACUGUACGAGAUAAGUUGGACAGUCAAAAGGGAAAGAGCCCAGACCGCCGGCUAAGGUCCCAAAGUGGGUGUUAAGUGGAAAAGGAUGUGGGAUCUCUAAGACAACCAGGAUGUUGGCUCAGAAGCAGCCAUUCAUUAAAAGAGUGCGUAACAGCUCACUGGUCGAGAGGUCCUGCGCCGAAAAUGUCCGGGGCUGAAACACCACACCGAAGCCGCGGAACCCGUAAGGGUUGGUAGAGGAGCAUUCUUAGGGGAGUGAAGCAUUACCGGAAGGGGAUGUGGACCGCUAAGAAGAGAGAAUGCCGGAAUGAGUAGCGAGAGCAAGGUGAGAAUCCUUGCGGCCGAAUAUCCAAGGUUUCCAGAGUAAAGCUGAUCUGCUCUGGGUAAGUCGGGGCCUAAGGAGAGGCAGAGAUGCGUAUCCGAUGGACAGCAGGUUUAAGAUUCCUGCACCCCUUGUUAUCAGAACUGCGGGGACACGGGAAGGGAAGCAGAGCCGGGAAUGGAAAGCCCGGUGCAAGCGAAGUAGUCGCAGGGUUGGAAAAUCCGCCCUGCAUGAGACGAAGGCGUGAUGCGGAGCGAAAUGAAGUAGUGAAGCUGCGGCCCCUUCCUGUCGAGAAAAGCCGCUAUCGUGUAGCAAGGGCCCGUACCGUAAACCGACACAGGUGGAUGAGGAGAGGAUCCUAAGGCCGGCGGGAGAAGUGUUGUUAAGGAACUCGGCAAAAUGACUCCGUAACUUCGGGAGAAGGAGUGCUGCGCAAGCAGCCGCAGAGAAAUGGCCCAAGCAACUGUUUAGCAAAAACACAGGUCUAUGCGAAACCGAAAGGUGAGGUAUAUGGGCUGACGCCUGCCCGGUGCUGGAAGGUUAAGGGGAGAGGUUAGCGCAAGCGAAGCUUUGAACUUAAGCCCCAGUAAACGGCGGCCGUAACUAUAACGGUCCUAAGGUAGCGAAAUUCCUUGUCGGGUAAGUUCCGACCCGCACGAAAGGCGUAAUGAUUUG